AAGGGGCGAAACGAGUGAAUCAAUGAAAAAAAGACCCUUCAUACGUCACCCAAAUAAGGCAUGAGAGAGAAGGUUCACUUUUCGCAGCGCCGUUGCAGAAAUACC